AGGGGCAGCGCGGUAGUAGCAAUACUACUGGCGGCGACCGGCAGAAGGGUGCGUAACACGUGAGCAACCUGCCCGUGACAGGGGGAUAACCGACGGAAACGUCGCCUAAUACCCCGUAACAACAUAGGAGGCAUCUCCAGUGUUUGAAAGACACGUCAGUCACGGAUGGGCUCGCGGUACAUUAGCUGGUUGGCGGGGUAACGGCCCACCAAGGCGACGAUGUAUAGGGGUUCUGAGGGGAAGGUCCCCCACACUGGAACUGAGACACGGUCCAGACUCCUACGGGAGGCAGCAGUGAGGAAUAUUGGACAAUGGAGGCAACUCUGAUCCAGCCAUGCCGCGUGAAGGAAUAAGGCCCUAUGGGUCGUAAACUUCUUUUGACGCAGAGCAAUAAGGACUACGUGUAGUCUGAUGAGAGUAUGCGUCGAAUAAGCAUCGGCUAACUCCGUGCCAGCAGCCGCGGUAACACGGAGGAUGCGAGCGUUAUCCGGAUUUAUUGGGUUUAAAGGGUGCGUAGGCUGAAGAUCAAGUCAGCGGUGAAAUGUCCCGGCUCAACCGGGGCCUUGCCGUUGAAACUGGUCAUCUGGAAUGCGGAUGCCGUGGGAGGAAUGUGUGGUGUAGCGGCGAAAUGCAUAGAUAUCACACAGAACACCGAUUGCGAAGGCAUCUCACGAAUCCGCUAUUGACGCUGAGGCACGAAAGCGUGGGGAUCAAACAGGAUUAGAUACCCUGGUAGUCCACGCAGUAAACGAUGAUGACUAACUGCCGGCGAUACAGUGUCGGUGGCCAAGCGAAAGCGAUAAGUCAUCCACCUGGGGAGUACGACCGCAAGGUUGAAACUCAAAGGAAUUGACGGGGGCCCGCACAAGCGGAGGAACAUGUGGUUUAAUUCGAUGAUACGCGAGGAACCUUACCCGGGCUCGAACGGCAGGUGAACGACACAGAGAUGUGAAGGUCCUACGGGACGCCUGUCGAGGUGCUGCAUGGUUGUCGUCAGCUCGUGCCGUGAGGUGUCGGCUUAAGUGCCAUAACGAGCGCAACCCUUGCCGUCAGUUACCAUCAGGUGAAGCUGGGGACUCU
rnacentral:rRNA from 1 species